UAAUAUUGUACUUCUGCCUUGAAUCUCUAACAAUUUGAGUAUACUAACUACAAAUAACACUCUGUGGAACUAACUUUAUAUUAUACCUUCAGCAAAUGCACCUGUGGUGCAUCCAUGAGUUUCAAGUAGAGGUUUCUCUGAGCAGAUCAAUUGAAUACUGUGAUGACUGCCUGUGUGAAGGGUGCCUCUAUUUGUCUCCACCAGAUAAACAAAUAUUCCCUUGCCUCCUUCUGAGCCCUGCCCAUAAGAGAUCCGUCUUGUUUGCACAUUUGCAUUAAAAAUUAUUUUGUGAUAGUCAUUUUUGGCUGAAAGAGGCUCCAGGUUGAGCCGCCCAGGCUGGACCCUCACCUAGAGUCUGGGUUCUCGUAUGUGGCACAAGUUGCUGGGACUUCUGCACGGACUAAAUUCCUGUGCAAACGUGGGAUACUGGGACUUCUGGAACAGCCAAAUCCCCCUGCAGACGUGGAGCUACAUGGAUGCGUCUCCAAAGCUCCAAUAAGCAUCAAACAAACAAAAAA
rnacentral:lncRNA from 1 species